rnacentral:piRNA from 2 species
UGACCUCAAUGGCUGCUGAAGUCUCUUCCAGU